rnacentral:rRNA from 1 species
CAAGUCGCACGAGAAAGCGGGAGCAAUCUCGCAAGUACAGUGGCGUACGGGUGAGUAACACGUGGAUUAUCUGCCCUGGAGUGGGGAAUAACGCUGGGAAACCGGCGCUAAUACCGCAUAUUCCCGAGAGGGGAAAGCAGCAAUGCGCUCGAGGAGGAGUCCGCGGCCGAUUAGCUAGUUGGCAGGGUAAAAGCCUACCGAGGCUGUGAUCGGUAGCCGGCCUGAGAGGGCACACGGCCACACUGGCACUGAAACACGGGCCAGACUCCUACGGGAGGCAGCAGUGGGGAAUCUUGCACAAUGGGGGAAACCCUGAUGCAGCGACGCCGCGUGAGCGAUGAAGCCCUUCGGGGUGUAAAGCUCUUUCGGCAGGGAAGAUUAUGACGGUACCUGCAGAAGCAGCUGCGGCUAACUACGUGCCAGCAGCCGCGGUAAUACGUAGGCAGCAAGCGUUGUUCGGAGUUACUGGGCGUAAAGGGUGUGUAGGCGGCCUGUUAAGUUCCGUGUGAAAUCUCCCGGCUCAACCGGGAGGGUGCGCGGAAAACUGGCGGGCUAGAGUGCGGGAUGGGAGAGUAGAAUUCCUGGUGUAGCGGUGAAAUGCGUAGAUAUCAGGAGGAAUACCGGUGGUGUAGACGGCUCUCUGGACCGCAACUGACGCUGAAACACGAAAGCGUGGGUAGCAAACAGGAUUAGAUACCCUGGUAGUCCAUGCCCUAAACGAUGCAUAUUUGGUGUAGGUCAUUCAGUUGAUCUGUGCCGGAGCUAACGCGUUAAAUAUGCCGCCUGGGGAGUACAGUCGCAAGGCUGAAACU